GGCAUUUCCAACCCCAAGGCCACCGGGGCACUCUCUGCCUUGAGGAUGGGGAGGGUGGGCAGCUAGGGGGACAGGAUGGUGAGCAUUCUUAGAUGUGUGGCUGGUCCCACACGACAGAGGAGGAUGCUGGCAAUACUCCCGUCGAGAAACAAGGUGGACCAAGGACAUGAGAGGACUGUGCCCAAGUUCCUAGUCAGUGCAGCCCAACAGGUUCCAAGGACCAAGGAAACCCUAAGCUUGGGGUAGGGGCCACGCUGGCCCCCUGGGGCCUCCCUUCUGUGCUCCAGGGCCGCCUCUGGCUGUGCCACCCUGUUACGCUCUCCUGUGGUAUUUCUCGUGACACUCAUGAGCCUGCAGGGGGCCUGGCCACAGUCCCCUCGCCUCACACUGGCCACAGCCUCCAGAGUCAGGGCUCAGAGCCUCGGCAGUCACUCCGUGGUGCUUGGCACAGAACGGGUGCUUAAUGAAUAUUUAUUGAAUGAUUUCCAGCUAAUGGAAGAAAGCUAAACAGUACAACACCCAGAGGAUUGAAGUUUAUUGAAAAUCGACCCGAAGGACUGUGGCGAAGAGAAUCUCAAAAGGCAGGGGGCGAGGGAUCGGUAUUUAUUAAGGGCCUUAAAAGUGAGUGCUGCAAUAGAAAGCGCGGUGUCAUAGGACAGGCACGGCCUGGGGCCGAAUCCAGACUCUGCCAGCUGUAGCUGUGUGGCCUUGGGCAAGUGCGUCAACCUCUCUGUGCCUCAUUGCGUUCUCUUUGAAGCAGGAAUGAAGGUGGUACUUAGCUCACAGCUCACGGGGAGAUUGGAGAAGGUAAUGUGCUAGUUCCAGAAAGCACUUGGACAGGGCCUUGCAGGUAUCGAGCGCCGCGUAGGUGUUGUUGGUUUUGUUGCCGAAAUUUGGCCUGCGUCUGCAGGUGCCGAAUUGAAAUGCAGAGACAGAGUCUUGGGUAGUGGAGAACAAGAUAGCUGUAUUGCUUUGCCCGGCAAAGGGGGCCACAGCAGGCUAAUGCCUUAAAGACUGUGCCCGCCUUGGAAGGGGUUGGGAUGUGGUUUUGUAGUUUGGGGAGUGGAAUAAGCAUCAGGGCAGGGCAAGCGCUCAUUGUCUUUCAAAGCUGGUGUCCAGUGGCCCCAGGACUGGUUCUGGGGGUCCUCCUUCUGGAAUGCAGAAGGCUUCAUCAAGCGGUUCUUCCAUCUGUUGGGGCUUUAGUUCUGCGGAAAGGCUCAAAGAUACUGUUAUAUAUAUUCCUUGAGGAGGAGCCAGGACCUGCCCCAAGGGACUGCUGUCCCUUGACCGCUCCUCCCUGGUCUCUGCCUCCCCCGCUUCUCCGAUUGGCACCCGCCCUUUGGAGUUCCGGGAAGGUUCUGGAGGCUGCAGCUUAUUCCCUAAAAGCAAGCCCUGGAGGACACAGAAAGGCUUGUGUGCCGGGAGCCCCACGGGGCCCUGCUCGGUUGCAGUGUUGGUCAUUUAGUCAUCCCCCUUUGACGGCUGGGGACGCUGAAGGUCGCAUAGCAGAGGCCACAUGGCAGGGGCAGGGAGCCCGGCCGGCGCCCCCGCUCUGCUCCUCGCCCCUUGCCACCGCCCUCUACCCACCCCCGUCUCUCCUCCCCACCUCCCUCGUUCAGGGGACCGAGCGGAGGCGAAGAGCAUGAGAAGACACACAUGAAGACCCGGGAGUGAGGUCUGGGCCCUUGGGACCUGGUGGAGCAGCAGGGGUGUCUGAGAUGGAAUCUGAUGUGUCACCACCUGAGGAUGCAGCCACUCCGGUGGGUGGGGUGGGGGUGGAGCCCCAGUGACAGAAGCCGAGGAAGAGCUGGCCCGAGGGUUUCCUGAUGGCCAGGAGCCCUGGACUGGGUGCCCUGGACAAGGAGCAGGGGUUGACCGUCUCCAGGGGGGAAGCCACUGGGAAGGACAGAGAAGCUGAACGGGGUGGCGGGAGGGAGCCAGGGGGCGUCCCGUGCUCUCUGGGCACAUUUGUCUGAGCGCCCCGAGUCCAGAGAGGAGAGCUGUGUGCCCUGGGGCCAUGGGAACACAUCCCCAGAGCAGCUGGCCUCCCCACCACGGUGCUCUAGGCAGGAGACAGGGACCAGAAGUGGGGGCUCUGGAAACCUGGUGCCCCCAGCGCUCCCCCUUUCCCGCUGUUCCCCACCCCCCCCAGCCCUGGGCCUUGGGAGGAACGCCUGCAGCACAGCUUCCCUCCCAAGUCAGCCCAGGGUGGGCAUGGGUCUGGGAGGCGGCUCCGGAGGUGUGGGUCCUGCCCAGACUGAUGCAUCAGGGAAGGCUCCCCUGAGGAGGGGGCCUUAGACGGAGGNCUGGAGGGUUGGGGGGACCUGGACUUUAGCCAGGAGGAAAAAUUAAGAACCCAUGGAGUUCCCGUCAUGGUGCAGCGGAAACGAAUCUAAGAACCAUGAGGUUGAGGGUUCAAUCCCUGGCCUCGCUCAGUGGGUUAAGGAUCCCACAUUGCUGUGGCUGUGGUGUAGGCCAGUGGCUACAGCUCCAAUUCAACCCCUAGCCUGGGAA
ensembl:lncRNA